rnacentral:lncRNA from 1 species
AUUCUACGAGCUGGUGGAGCAUGAACUACUGAAAGAAGAUAUAUUUUUGAGUCUCCUUAUAGUGUUUAAAGUUUGAAAUUUAUAUGAUGAGUUAUAAAUUGACUGAAGUUGAAAAAGUUUUAAUUUUUGACAAAUUAAACUUUAAAUGGUGAGUUGUAAUUCAAUUAAAGUUCAGCAAUACCUGCUACACACAUGUACUCACUUUGUUAAGUUUAUUAAUUAUUAGAUUAUUGUUUAUUAGAUUAGAUUAUUUUUUUAUAAUAUAGUAUUAAAGUUAGUUUAAAGCCGUCUCAAUUCUAAAAAUAUUGGAGUGUGAGUUUUUGUAUCUGCUAUUUAACAACAUAAAAUUCUUGUUGAUAUUUCUUUCAUUAUCUCUCUUAUAAAUAUAUGUUAUAUCUAUAAUCUAUAAUCUAUAAUCUAUAACUCUAUAUGAAUCCCCAAUAAAAAUAAUGACAUGGCAAGCCCUCCUUUUUCUAGAUUUUAUACAUUUGUUUCCUCUCUUUGAAUUAACCAACCUCUCCUCUUCCUUCAACUGUUUCUCUUUGAACCGACCUCUCAUUUUCCUUCAACCGUUUUUCUUUUUCAUAUGACAUUUUAUCUUUCCAAUGUGAUCGUUUCUCUAUAUGAAUCCCUAAUAAAAAUGAUGACAUGGCAAGCCCUCCUUUUUCUAGAUUUUAUACAUUUGUUUGCUCUCUUUGAAUUAACCAACCUCUCCUCUUCCUUCAACUGUUUCUCUUUGAACCGACCUCUUCUUUUCCUUCAACCGUUUCUCUUUUUCAUAUGACAUUUUAUCUUUCCAAUGUGAUCGUUUCUCUUUCCCAUGACAUUUUAUCUUUCCAAUAUGACUGUUUCUCUUUCCCAUAUGAAAGUUAUCUUUUUCAUGCGACCGUUUUUCUUUUCCAUAUGACAAUUUAUUUUUCCGGUCAUGCAACCGUUUCUCUUUGCCAUAAGUUGUGGUUUCUUCUCCUGUUUCUUCAUUGCCAUUUUCUUUACCAUCUUGCCUUU